rnacentral:rRNA from 1 species
UACGUAGGUGGCAAGCGUUGUCCGGAUUUACUGGGCGUAAAGAGCGCGCAGGCGGUCGAAUAAGUCGAAUGUGAAAGCCCCCGGCUUAACUGGGGAGGGUCAUUCGAUACUGUUCAACUUGAAGGCAGGAGAGGGCAGCAGAAUUCCCGGUGUAGUGGUGAAAUGCGUAGAUAUCGGGAGGAAUACCAGUGGCGAAGGCGGCUGCCUGGCCUGUUCUUGACGCUGAGGCGCGAAGGCUGGGGGAGCAAACGGG